rnacentral:rRNA from 1 species
GACGAACGCUGGCGGCGUGCCUAACACAUGCAAGUCGAACGGAGUUAAGUUUGGCACCGAACGUUUCGUUUGGUGAAAGCACCUGAGGAAACAUUGGGUGUUAAACUUAGCUUAGUGGCGGACGGGUGAGUAACGCGUGAGUAACCUGCCUUUCAGAGGGGGAUAACGUUCGGAAACGAACGCUAAUACCGCAUGAUAUAUUUGGGCUGCAUGGCUCGGAUAUCAAAGGAGCAAUCCGCUGAAAGAUGGACUCGCGUCCGAUUAGCUAGUUGGUGAGGUAAAGGCCCACCAAGGCGACGAUCGGUAGCCGGACUGAGAGGUUGAACGGCCACAUUGGGACUGAGACACGGCCCAGACUCCUACGGGAGGCAGCAGUGGGGGAUAUUGCACAAUGGAGGAAACUCUGAUGCAGCAACGCCGCGUGAGGGAAGAAGGUUUUCGGAUUGUAAACCUCUGUCCUUGGUGACGAAAAAAAUGACGGUAGCCGAGGAGGAAGCUCCGGCUAACUACGUGCCAGCAGCCGCCGUAA